rnacentral:rRNA from 1 species
UAAUUGAAGAGUUUGAUCAUGGCUCAGAUUGAACGCUGGCGGCAGGCCUAACACAUGCAAGUCGAGCGGUAACAGGGGAAGCUUGCUUCCCGCUGACGAGCGGCGGACGGGUGAGUAAUGUAUGGGGAUCUACCCGAUAGAGGGGGAUAACUACUGGAAACGGUAGCUAAUACCACAUAAUCUCUCAGGAGCAAAGCAGGGGAACUUCGGUCCUUGCGCUAUCGGAUGAACCUAUAUGGGAUUAGCUAGUAGGUGAGGUAAUGGCUCACCUAGGCGACGAUCCCUAGCUGGUCUGAGAGGAUGAUCAGCCACACUGGGACUGAGACACGGCCCAGACUCCUACGGGAGGCAGCAGUGGGGAAUAUUGCACAAUGGGCGCAAGCCUGAUGCAGCCAUGCCGCGUGUAUGAAGAAGGCCCUAGGGUUGUAAAGUACUUUCAGUCGGGAGGAAGGCGUUGAUGCUAAUAUCA